AGCUUGCCAUGACCCUGGAGCCCACCUGCCCGCCGUGAAUAAAUCCACGAGUAAAAAUCUUGGGCUUUCAACGCCGCCCGCCAGGCAGCACUAAUGGCGGCUUUGUAGCCCUGAGAAGGUUGAUUUUGGACCUGUGUUGUAACCUUAUUUCCUUCUCCUUUUGUUCCUGGCUGGAGAGCCUAUGUGAUCUCUGGACCUAGCUCAUCAUUUUGCCUUCUCUGGGACUAUUGGAGGGCCCUGUUAACAGACUACCAACUUUCCAUAGCGGACAAAUAAUGAACGCCGAAAAACAGUGAAAUCAUCAAGGCUGAGGCUCAUCCCUCAGAAGGAUACUGGGAGGAACGUGAAUGUCAGAGAACAGCAUGACAAAUCAUAACAAUCACAAGACCAAAUGUGUAGCCUCUGUGAUGCAAAUUAUAUUUAACCAGCUCUGGGGACUGAAUAUGGAUUGGUGCUUUGUGGGCUUGGACCCUAGCAGGCUGUAAUCGUGGUCAAGAUUAGACAACCCAUGUUAGACACACAGCAUCUGAAUGAACACAGACCUAAGGUGCUAACAAGAAUAGUUUAAACAUGUAAACUAGUUAUCUAAACUCCCUAUCUAUCUAGGCAAUGAAGAGAUAAGAACUCAAAAGGUAAAGAAUGCUUAAAGCUGGAUCUUGGUCUACAUGGGACAAGGGCACAUGGAGCAUUACUGCUGCUGUAAUUUGGGUGCCUGAGCUGAAGCUGCAUAAGCUGAAGUUGCAUAUGAAAUUAUUCAGCUCAUCUUUUAUUUUCUGAUAGUGCCCUCACAUCCUCAGGUAAGAUGAAAGGUGGACCAGUCCUAGGCCGUAUCAGUACUCCAGAGGUAAAGGGUCCUUUCCGGGAAAGUGAGAACUAUGGAUUUCGACUCCUGCAGGCUGCAGGAGUGUCUAGCACUUUGGUCCCUUAGCUUUUGGCUGAGUUGUCUGGUAGGCUGUUUCUGGAAAAGAAAGGUAUUUUACCAUGUCUAUGACUGAGCACUGGAAUAGGCUGAAUUCAUCAUUGUCCAAGUAUCUUGAGGAAAGGUCCAUAUGUGCAUGAUGAAACCGAGACAGUUACAUGUGUCUUCAACCAUCUCCUGGUCCCAUCACAGAUUAUGGUGUGUUAGCUUAGAGAAGGGUAAUGCAUUUGCAAGACUAUGUCAGUGCUUAGGAAACACUGUCAUUCAA